rnacentral:rRNA from 1 species
AUUGAACGCUGGCGGCAGGCCUAACCCAUGCAAGUCGAACGAGUGGCGGACGGGUGAGUAAUGUCUGGGAAACUGCCCGAUGGAGGGGGAUAACUACUGGAAACGGUAGCUAAUACCGCAUCCCAUCUGAUGUGCCCAGAUGGGAUUAGCUUGUAGGUGAGGUAACGGCUAACCUCGGCGAAGCUCCCUCGCUGGUCUGAGAGGAUUACCAGCAGCACUGGAGAUAAGACACGGUCCAGAUUGCGACGGGAGGGAGAAGUGUGGAGUAUGGAACAAUGGGCGAAAUCCUGAUGCAGCGAUGCCGGGUGGAUGAAGAAGGCAUUCGGGUUGUAAAGUACUUUCAGCGGGGAGGCGUUACCCGCAGAAGAAGCACCGGCUAACUCCGUGCCAGCAGCGGCGGUAAUUC